UGGAUCCGCAGAGUCCGCGCGGGGAAUUCAGCUCGGCAGGCGGGGCCGUGCGCCGGCCGAGAUUCGUCUCGGACCUGGCUGGCGCGCUGCGUACUCGCAGGCAGGGUGCACUUUCCCCGGCUAGCGGAAGGCCACGACCGGUUCGGUGGCGGUCAGGAGCCCGGAGCGGGAGGUAGCCGUGAUCGGUUCACGCCGAUUGCGGAACGUACAGCCCUCCGAGGUGGACUCGCCGCUGGACCGAGGAUGCCGCGGUGGCCUCACGCCGCGGGCCGUCCGGGAGCGUUCGACUUUGGCCACGCUGCUCGCAGCCGGCCGAGACCGCGCGACUGGUACGGGCUCGCGAA
rnacentral:rRNA from 1 species